GAUGAACGCUAGCUACAGGCUUAACACAUGCAAGUCGAGGGGCAGCAUGUCGGUUGCUUGCAACCGAUGAUGGCGACCGGCGCACGGGUGAGUAACGCGUAUCCAACCUACCCUUGUCCAUCGGAUAACCCGUCGAAAGGCGGCCUAACACGAUAUGCGGUUCACAGCAGGCAUCUAACGUGGACGAAAUGUGAAGGAGAAGGAUGGGGAGGCGUCUGAUUAGCUUGUUGGCGGGGUAACGGCCCACCAAGGCUACGAUCAGUAGGGGUUCUGAGAGGAAGGUCCCCCACAUUGGAACUGAGACACGGUCCAAACUCCUACGGGAGGCAGCAGUGAGGAAUAUUGGUCAAUGGACGAGAGUCUGAACCAGCCAAGUAGCGUGCAGGAUGACGGCCCUAUGGGUUGUAAACUGCUUUUAUAGGGGGAUAAAGUGUGCCACGUGUGGCAUAUUGCAGGUACCCUAUGAAUAAGGACCGGCUAAUUCCGUGCCAGCCGCCGCGGUAAGAC
rnacentral:rRNA from 1 species